GAUGGCGAGGAACGGGCAGGGCCCAUUCUUGUUCUGGUAGGCGAUGGGCGUGCGGCGUCCAAGGAAGUUGACGGCCUUCGUCCGGUGCAUCACCUCUUGCAGCUCGGCAGGCGGCGCGGCAGGCUGGGACUGGGGAUCCACCUCCGUCGCGCCCGACGGGGCCAUCAGCGGGUGAGACAGGGCGACCGAUUGGACGACAUGGAACCACAAGAUUGCAAGGAUGACGCGGAAGUUGCCGGAACCCUAACUCAAGGGCGUGGAUUGGAGAAGGCAGGAGAGGGUGGCGGAAAUGAGGGGAAGAUGUAACAGCCUGAAAAUUCAAAUCUAAAAAUCACUCAAAUUCAAAAACUUCAAAACCUAUUUCAGAAAUCUACUUUCAAAAUAUUGCAAAACUAUUCUCAAGCUCAAUUCAUUUUUUCAUCUAAAAUCCAUCCCUAGCUUAAUCUCCGUUUCCAUUAGUGCAACCGAUUAACUUGCUUCUCUCUCUAUUCUCCCUAAGCCAACAACCUGUUUAUCAAUCAUUUCCCUCUAACCUCUCUCACUCAUACUUUCUGCAUGUGCAUGCACAAAACAGAGACGAGCUUCUCGCAAGCAUCUCAUGCCAAGCUUGCGACGCAAGCCCCUUGCCAUGCACACUACCGCAGUACCGUAACCCGCAC
rnacentral:lncRNA from 1 species